CCCCAGACUCCUACGGGAGGCAGCAGUGGGGAAUAUUGGGCAAUGGGCGCAAGCCUGACCCAGCAACGCCGCGUGAAGGAAGAAGGCUUUCGGGUUGUAAACUUCUUUUAAGAGGGAAGAGCAGAAGACGGUACCUCUUGAAUAAGCCACGGCUAACUACGUGCCAGCAGCCGCGGUAAUACGUAGGUGGCAAGCGUUGUCCGGAUUUACUGGGUGUAAAGGGCGUGUAGCCGGGCUGACAAGUCAGAUGUGGAAUUCCGGGGCUCAACCCCGGACCUGCAUUUGAAACUGUUGGUCUUGAGUAUCGGAGAGGCAGGCGGAAUUCCUAGUGUAGCGGUGAAAUGCGUAGAUAUUAGGAGGAACACCAGUGGCGAAGGCGGCCUGCUGGACGACAACUGACGGUGAGGCGCGAAAGCGUGGGGAGCAAACAGGAUUAGAUACCCCGGUAG
rnacentral:rRNA from 1 species